rnacentral:rRNA from 1 species
GUCCUUUUGAUUUUAAUUUAAGGUUUAACCUGCCCACUGAUUUAUUAAAGGGCCGCAGUAAUUUGACUGUGCAAAGGUAGCAUAAUCAUUAGUUUUUUAAUUAAAAGCUUGUAUGAAAGGUUGGACGAAGUAAAUUCUGUCUCUAUUUAAUUUAAUUUAGAAUUUAAUUUUUAAGUUAAAAAGCUUAAAUUUUUUUAAAAGACGAGAAGACCCUAUAGAUUUUUAUAUUGAAUUUAAUAAAUUUAAUUUAGAAUUAUUAAUUUUUUAUUAAAUUUAUUAUUUUAUUGGGGCAAUAGAAAGAUUAAAUUAAUUCUUUUUUAAUAUUUACAUUAAUUUAUGUUUAAAUGAUCCAAUUUUAUUGAUUAUAAGAUUAAAUUACCUUAGGGAUAACAGCGUAAUUUUUUUAAAGAGUUCAUAUCGAUAAAAAAGUUUGCGACCUCGAUGUUGGAUUAAAAAUUAUCUUAGGUGCAGAAUUUUAAGAUUAUGGUCUGUUCGACCAUUAAAUUUUUACAUGAUCUGAGUUCAGACCGGUGUAAGCCAGGUCGGUUUCUAUCUUUAAUAAAUUUAAAUAUUUUAGUACGAAAGGACCAAAUAUUUAAUAUAGUAUAUUAUUAAUUUUGAAUAU